GACGAACGCUGGCGGCAUGCUUAACACAUGCAAGUCGAACGGAGUGGCGAACGGGUGAGUAACACGUAGGUGAUCUGCCCUGCCCUUCGGGAUAAGCUUGGGCAACUGGGUCUAAUACCGGAUUGGGCAAGAGAAGCUCGCGACCUAUUAGCUUGUUGGUGAGGUAAUGGCCUACCAAGGCGUCGACGGGUAGCCGGCCUGAGAGGGUUUACGGCCACAUUGGGGCUGAGAUACGGUCCAGACUCCUACGGGAGGCAGCAGGGGGGAAUCUUGCACAAUGGGCGGAAGCCUGAUGCAGCGACGCCGCGUGUGCGAUGAAGGCAUUCGGGUUGUAAACUCCUUUCGACAGGGACGCGAUACCGGUAUAAGAAGCACCGGCUAACUACGUGCCAGCAGCCGCGGUAAUAC
rnacentral:rRNA from 1 species